rnacentral:misc_RNA from 1 species
AAAGUCGUAACAAGGUCUCCGUUGGUGAACCAGCGGAGGGAUCAUUACAGAGUUGCAAAACUCCCUAAACCAUUUGUGAACCUACCCCUAAAACAGUUUCUUCGGCGGCGCCCUGACCGGCCCGCCGGAGACCACCAAACUCUUUGUUUUUAUACACUGGCCUCUCUGAGUUAUUGUACUGUAAUAAGUCAAAACUUUCAACAACGGAUCUCUUGGUUCUG